GAUGAACGCUGGCGGCGUGCCUAAUACAUGCAAGUCGAGCGAACGGACGAGAAGCUUGCUUCUCUGAUGUUAGCGGCGGACGGGUGAGUAACACGUGGAUAACCUACCUAUAAGACUGGGAUAACUUCGGGAAACCGUAGCUAAUACCGGAUAAUAUUUUGAACCGCAUGGUUCAAAAGUGAAAGACGGUCUUGCUGUCACUUAUAGAUGGAUCCGCGCUGCAUUAGCUAGUUGGUAAGGUAACGGCUUACCAAGGCAACGAUGCAUAGCCGAACUGAUAGGGUGAUCGGCCACACUGGAACGUAGACAGGGUCCAGAGUCCUACGGGAGGCAGCAGUAGGGAAUCUUCCGCAAUGGGCGAAAGCCUGACGGAGCAACGCCGCGUGAGUGAUGAAGGUCUUCGGAUCGUAAAACUCUGUUAUUAGGGAAGAACAUAUGUGUAAGUAACUGUGCACAUCUUGACGGUACCUAAUCAGAAAGCCACGGCUAACUACGUG
rnacentral:rRNA from 1 species